rnacentral:misc_RNA from 1 species
CACUUUUUAGGAUUUUUUUUAUAGCCAAAUUUACUUAGACUGAAGUGAAUUUAGGAAGCUUUGAUGACAAGUGUUUUCUAGUUAACAUGUUAGUCUAAAUGCUGAGCUUUUUUAACUGAUACAUUUUUUUUUUUAACUACAGUCACUUUAAGUUCAUUAAAAUUGUAAUGUUUUACAUAAUUCUUGAACUGUGUUGUUCUUCUGCAGCUGCUGGGAAUGCUAAGAAUAAGCCUUUCUUGUUAACCAAUCUGGAUCAAAAUUCUCAGCGCAUCAUUGUAAGUUUGUCAACAUAUACGUCCAAAACUAAAUGUCUCUUUCAAAAUUUAAUUGUGAUAAUAUUUCUUAAAAAUUACUGUAGAAGGGACCUAUGAUUGUGGUGAACUUAACCCAUGGAAUUGGUAGUCUGCUCU